GAUGAACGCUGGCGGCGUGCCUAAUACAUGCAAGUCGAGCGAACAGAUGAGGAGCUUGCUCCUCUGACGUUAGCGGCGGACGGGUGAGUAACACGUGGAUAACCUACCUAUAAGACUGGGAUAACUUCGGGAAACCGGAGCUAAUACCGGAUAAUAUAUUGAACCGCAUGGUUCAAUAGUGAAAGACGGUUUUGCUGUCACUUAUAGAUGGAUCCGCGCCGCAUUAGCUAGUUGGUAAGGUAACGGCUUACCAAGGCAACGAUGCGUAGCCGACCUGAGAGGGUGAUCGGCCACACUGGAACUGAGACACGGUCCAGACUCCUACGGGAGGCAGCAGUAGGGAAUCUUCCGCAAUGGGCCAAAGCCUGACGGAGCAACGCCGCGUGAGUGAUGAAGGUCUUCGGAUCGUAAAACUCUGUUAUUAGGGAAGAACAAAUGUGUAAGUAACUAUGCACGUCUUGACGGUACCUAAUCAGAAAGCCACGGCUAACUACGUG
rnacentral:rRNA from 1 species